UGGAAGUUUUAAGAGGGCUGUUUGCCUCAGAGACCUGAAAAGCAAAAUCAGGCACCAGAAGGGCAAAGCAUGGGCAGGUCAGCAAGAGAGCAGGGGACCCAGUGACUCCACCUUGCCUCUGCCACAAACUGCAUGGCCACGGCCAAGCCACUGGCCCCUCCGUGUGUCAAAUGAGAGAACUGGAUAAGAUGAUUUCAAAGGUCCUUCCCAACUCUGAUUCCAAGAUGACAGAAUUGAGUUCAGGAAGAUGCUGAGCAAAGGCACCCAGGCUUCCAGCAUGAGGGGGCCGGCACUGGAAGGCGAUCUGUCCUUCUUCCAAGGCAUUUCCUCGGGUUAGCUCUGCACCUCAAGUCAGAGGCCACUCUCUAAAGAUGUCAGGGACAGCAAGAUGGUGGAUACUUAGAUGGCCGUCGCUCACAGUGAAGACUGGCUUGAUGGUGGUUUGAAGGGGCAGUUCAUAGAGGAGAGACCUAUGUCUCUCCUCUACCUGGACUUUGUAUGUUCUCAUUUCGAACCUGUCCACUUAAAUAGCUUCUCACUGAUAAGUUCAUACACUAAAACAAGCCACCCACGAGGCCAGCUUCCAGCAAAGCAGAAGGUCGGGGACAGCCACAGCUUGUAAGGUCCAGAAAACCCUAUGAGGAUGAACAAGCGUCAUUUGAGAGCGUAAGAUUUAAAGCUGUGCGCUGAUCGGCAGGACUCUUUUAUCAACGAAGCCUGACAGAAGAAGCAUCAUGGGCGAAGAAUCAGUGCCUGUCUGGUGUAAGAUUACACAGGCGCAGGAGGAUCCAUGGGGAAAUAUGCCCUCUUCUCUCUGUGGCCUUUGGACACUAGAUACUGGGGAUUUUUUUAAAAGAUUGAUUGAUUUAAAAGAUUUUGUUUAUUUAUUUGAGAGAGUGAGCAGGGUGGGGUUAAAGGGUGAGGGAGAAGCAGAUUCAGGGAACCUGACGGGGGCUCAGUCCCUGGGACCCAGGAUCAUGACCUGAGCUCAGGCAGAUGCUUAACCAGCUGAGCCACCCAGAUGCCCCAAAUUUAUUUAUUUAUCUUAGAGAGAGAGAGAGAAAGAGAGAGAGAGAGAGAGCAUGCUAGCAGGGUGCAGGGGGACAGAGGGAGAGGAAGAGGGUAAGCAGAUUCCUGCCGAGCUGUUUCGGGGCUCAGCGUGGGGCUCCAUGCAGGCAGGAUCUCAUGAUCCUGAUAUCAUGAUCUGAGCUGACAGCAAGAGUGGGGUGCUCAACCAAUUGAGCCACCCAGGCGCCUCUGAUCCUGGAGAUUUUUUAAGGGACUGAACAACCUAAUCAAGGGAAAUAAACAUGAGUGAAAUUCUGAAACUUAAUUUUGAGACCAAGAACUAUAAAACUGACCAAGACCCUAACUUAGAUAAGAUACCCAGCGUUAGCUAAAUUCUAUUGAAAAUUGUGUUAUCGCAGAGGUGCACUAGCUUAAAUAGAAGAACUAGAAAAAAAAUUAAUGCUAAAAUAAAAUGAAGAAUGCAAAAAUCAUUUCAGAUUUAAGAGUUAUUUAUAAACGUGUUUACAAAGAAGUUAAUGCAAAAAAUCAAAAAUAAAAUCAAAGUGAGCUCAGGUCUUCUGGCCCGUUGGAAGUCUGGAAUUCUAGGCACAUCUUUGGUGAUCUUGGAAAGGGAAGCCUGUGAACUGGGGACAGAUUUUCAAAGUUUAGAUCAAAGGUUUUGUUGCCUAAUGAAGAAGACUCCACCAAACGGAGGAAUCCUCUCUAUGGCAGCUCCAGCUAAGUGCUUUCUUUUUCAAAGAGCAACUUGCACAAUUUCUACGCAGUAUUUUUCAACCUCAGGUUUAUUCUAAGGUACAGCUUUUCUGAUAAGAUAUAAACUCCAGACUUAGAAGAGCUUGACCCACCCCAUUUUAAACAACACUGCGAAUUAACAUUGUAGUUUGAAAAAGAUAAAUUCCCAACUCUUUCCUAUUUUUGUUUAAUUUUUACCUCCUGGAAUGUUCUCAGUUCUCUCAAGAGAUUGUAGAAUUCACUCUCCAAGCGAAAGCAAUUUAAAUUCAUUAAAAAACUACUUGGGACACCUGGGUAACUUAGUUGAUUGGGUGGCCAACCCGUGCUUCUGGCUCAGGUCACAAUCUUGGGUUCUUGAGGUAAGAGUCCCUCAUCUGGCUCUGCUCUCCGUGUGGAGUCUGCUUGAAGUAUUCUGUCUCCC